UACGAAGGGGGGCUAGCGUUGCUCGGAAUCACUGGGCGUAAAGGGUGCGUAGGCGGGUCUUUAAGUCAGGGGUGAAAUCCUGGAGCUCAACUCCAGAACUGCCUUUGAUACUGAGGAUCUUGAGUACGGGAGAGGUGAGUGGAACUGCGAGUGUAGAGGUGAAAUUCGUAGAUAUUCGCAAGAACACCAGUGGCGAAGGCGGCUCACUGGCCCGUUACUGACGCUGAGGCACGAAAGCGUGGGGAGCAACAGAGUAGA
rnacentral:rRNA from 1 species